rnacentral:rRNA from 1 species
GCAACCUGCCCCGAAGACCGGGAUAACAGUGGGAAACCGCUGCUAAUACCGGAUACCCCCACCGGUUCCCAUGGCCUGGUGAGGAAAUGGAUUCCGCUUCGGGAGGGGCUCGCGGCCUAUCAGCUUGUUGGUGGGGUAACGGCCUACCAAGGCAACGACGGGUAGCUGGUCUGAGAGGACGAUCAGCCACACUGGGACUGAGACACGGCCCAGACUCCUACGGGAGGCAGCAGUAGGGAAUCUUGCGCAAUGGGCGAAAGCCUGACGCAGCAACGCCGCGUGAGGGAUGGAGGCCUUCGGGUUGUAAACCUCUUUCAGCAGGGACGAUUGUGACGGUACCUGCAGAAGAAGCCCC